rnacentral:rRNA from 1 species
CCCUUAGAUGAUUUGGGCUGCACGCGCGCUACACUGACCCUAACAAUGAGCAACUGUCUGGCCUGAGAUGGCUGGGUAGCCUUUUCAACCCAUGUCAUGAUUGGGCUAGAUUUUUGUAAGUCUUGAUCUCUAACGAGGAAUCCCUAGUAUGCGUGAAUCAUCAAUCCAUGCAGAUUAUGUCCCUGCCCUUUGUACACACCGCCCGUCGCUCCUACUGAUUGGGUGAUCCGGUGAAUAAUUCGGACUGCAGCACUGCUUGGUCUCCAGGCUUUGCAGCGGAAAGUUUAGUGAACCUUAUCACUUAGAGGAAGGAGAAGUCGUAACA